GAUGAAGAACGUAGUGAAAUGCGAUAAGUAAUGUGAAUUGCAGAAUUCAGUGAAUCAUCGAAUCUUUGAACGCACAUUGCGCCCGCCAGCAUUCUGGCGGGCAUGCCUGUUCGAGCGUCAUUUCAACCCUCAAGCUCUGCUUGGUGUUGGGGCCCUACGGUUGACGUAGGCCAUUAAAGGUAGUGGCGGACCCUCUCGGAGCCUCCUUUGCGUAGUAACUAACGUCUCGCAUUGGGAUUCGGAGGGACUCUUGCCGUAAAACCCCCAAAUUUUCUAAUGGUUGACCUCGGAUCAGGUAGGAAUACCCGCUGAACUUAAGCAUAUCAAUAAGCGGAGGA
rnacentral:misc_RNA from 1 species